rnacentral:misc_RNA from 1 species
UUUUUUUUUUUUUUUUUGUCCAUGUUAUUUCAUGCUUCUCGAUCACAUUUCAGUGAGUUUGAUUAUUGUUCUCAUUCAUUAGUUUGAGAAAAUACAGGAAGUCUUUGUCUCUUUAGUUGUAAGGCUCAAAAUUCUGCACUUGAAAAAAAAAAGGAGCUUUUGACUCCUGUUUUCUCAGGAUUUGCUCUACUGCAUUAAGAAAUUCAUGGACUUGGGCUAAGAUUGAUCUAGAACGUGUUUUGGUUUAUGAUUGAAAGGGAGUAUCUAUCGUCCUUUGCUCAUGUUAUGUUUUGUGGUGCAGUCUGAGAUUCAGUUAUGCGUUUGCUUUUGAUGUUCUCUAAUUCUUCCUGCAGUUCCUAUUUUCAGUCGAGGAUGCAGUACAGAGGCAUUACAGAGCAAGUCUUAAAUAUCGUGGUGGAUUUUCUUUUUACCUUUUUUUGUUUGUUCACAAAUAUUUUAUAUGUUUGUUGGCAAAUAGGUCUGCAACUUGAGAUUUGCUGCUUGUUUGUAGAGCUACGUGUUUUUUGCCUUAAAGACUACUUGGACUAAGAUGGAUCA